rnacentral:rRNA from 1 species
CAGGCAACUGCGAUASGGGGACAUCGAGUGGCAUCCACCUAUGGGUGCCUGUCCYACCGCUCUAAAAAACRKUGGAUUAGCAAGGGCCGGGCUAAGUACCGGUGCCAGCCGCCGCGGUAAUACCGGCGGCUCGAGUGGUGGCCGAUAUUAUUGAGUCUAAAGGGUCCGUAGCCGGCUUCKYAAGUGYCUUGGGAAAUCCSGCGGCUUMACCGUUGGGCGCUCAUGGGAUACUACUUUGCUUGGGACYGGGAGAGGUGRGAGGUACUYCGKGGGUAGGGGUGAAAUCYUGUAAUCCUCCGRGGACCACCRGUGGCGAAGGCGUCCCACCAGAACRGGUCCGACGGUGAGGGACGAAAGCUAGGGGCACGAACCGGAUUAGAUACCCGGGUAGUCCUAUGCCGUAAACGAUGCCCGCUAGGUGUCAGCGAUCGUCGUGAAUUAUCUYGGUGCCGUAGGGAAGCCGYGAAGCGUGCCACUUGGAGAAGUACGWCCGCAAGGUUGAAACUUAA